CCCUUCUUUUGUGAGGUAGGCUAAAGAAAUAAGGAGGGGAGAAAAAAGAAAGAAAGAAAGAAAGAACCGGUGGCUUUUAAUGCUGGGCCUUGGUGGGACUCGACAUGCAGUGAAAGCUGCCUGUGCGGAGGAGAGCCUGUAAUGCAUUUCAAAACCAGGCCUUAUCCAGGACAAGGGAAGAACGAACUGAUAUGCAUUUUGUGGGAAGGAAAAAAAAGAACUGGGAACGGGGAAAAAAACAUAAAAGAAGAGAGGAAAGAAAGAGAGAGGGGGAAAAAAAAAAGCAGAAUUUGAAUUUGGAUAAAGCCUUAAAAUUAUUUUGGAUUUCAAUCCUCUCCCCCUUUUUUUUUUUUUUUUUUUUUGCAUAUCAUAUCUAACAAGCAAGACUGACCGACCUCAUCAGUUGGACUUCCAAAGGCUUAAUAUUUUGGACUUUAAAGAGGGCAACUCCUGGUGCAUCUUUCCAUUAUGAUUUAGCCUCCCAAAUCAUCUGCAUAUUUACUUAUCACGUUCAUGGUUUGGGUUGAAGAAAAAAAAAUGUUACUUGAUUAAAAACUGGACAUAUUCUUUCCCAUUUGCUAAUGAUUCGCAGUUUUGUGAAACGGGUUUUUUUUUUCCCUCCCCGGUGUGGCAGUUUGACCAUCUAGACAACACAACAGCUUUCUGGUGUCUGCAAAAAAAACGUGCGGAGCAAUCUUGGAAGAUAAAUCCACCAUGUGACUCCUUAGACUCUUAGCAGCAUGCGCUGUUCCAAAUAAGGAAUACAACAACACAAGCCUGGACCCUGGAAACACCCAGUGGACUGCUGCUCUCCAACCCCAUCUGGAUCUUCUUCCAGCCCACUUGCACUACGUACAACCCUCUCUUCACUCAUGCCCCAAGAUCAAAGAGUCAAAAAAAAAAAUCAAAACAACCCAAUGGCAUUUGAGUUUAAAGGCAGCUCGGAAGAUGGAAGCGGGGGAGAUGCUGUAAUCGUCUACUGGCCUGCUUCGUCUUACCCAGGAUAGAUGAAGGCAGGUGCAAGGCCUUGUGGGAAUCCUGAAGAACGAUCCACCUCCAUGCUUCUCCACGGUGUGUGUGUGUGUGUGUGGCAAAAAAAAAAAAACACAUUCGAAGAGUCCUUCCAUCCCGGAUGAGCCUAGACCCGAACUGACCUCUCUGAAGCUAUCCAGCAUCUCCCAAGAUCACCAGCAUUAUGUCCCUUUGGGACAGGAUUCCCCCCCCCCCCCGGAUGCAUCACAGUGGCAGACAUUUGGGGCUUCCUGGAAUCCCUGCAGGUGUUUGUGAAUUGCAAAGGGCUUCCAUUCAGAGCCUCACAUCUGCAACCCAUCGCAAGUUAUUUAGCUCGGCAUUGACAAGUUUACUUGAGGCAGAAUCUUCUCCUUUCUGAGCGUUCCUAUCAGUGGUUACCUAAAGUCCCAGAAACAAUUUUCCAGCUCAAGACUUAAAGACCUAGAAGAACAGAUUUGCUCCAUGGUCACUGGCAAAACAGAAUCUUUGAGUGACAUUUGAUUAGUCCCAUGUAAUAGGAAAUUAGAAGAAAUCUGAAUCUCUCAAGAUGCUGAAGAUUAAAAAAAAACAAACUUC